CCUACGGGAGGCAGCAGUGGGGAAUAUUGCGCAAUGGGCGAAAGCCUGACGCAGCGACGCCGCGUGAGGGAUGAAGGUCUUCGGAUCGUAAACCGCUGUCAGCAGGGAAGAACGGUCACAGUGCGAAUCAGCAGUGAAUUGACGGUACCUGCAAAGGAAGCACCGGCUAACUCCGUGCCAGCAGCCGCGGUAAUACGGAGGGUGCGAGCGUUAAUCGGAAUUACUGGGCGUAAAGCGGUCGUAGGCGGUAUGUCAAGUCAAGGGGGAAAUCCCCGCGCUCAACGCGGGAACUGCAUUUGAUACUGGCAAACUGGAGUGUGUGAGAGGAUAGUGGAAUUCCAGGUGUAGGAGUGAAAUCCGUAGAUAUAUGGAGGAACAUCAGGGGCGAAGGCGACUAUCUGGCACAUAACUGACGCUGAGGAGCGAAAGCGUGGGUAGCAAACAGGAUUAGAUACCCGUGUAGUC
rnacentral:rRNA from 1 species